UGCCAGGUAACUGCUAAUUGAACUUCAGUUUUGCUGCCUCAGCUUUUUGCUUGCAGGAGUGUGAAUGUAAAAGUUUCAUUUUCAACCUAGAUUGCUCAGAGAACAUUGCUCAAACAAUACAGCAAAUGAAGGGCAUGCCUUUGGAUCCUCUGGGAAUGACUGAAGUUCCUGAACACGCGUGUCUAGCAUUACUUGAGAUGCCCUUGCUUUUCUGUCUGACUUCCAGUGGCUGAUCCAGAAGGGCAAUUUCUUUCCCAGAGGUCCAGUGUCAGCCCUGACAGCCCUGUAAGGAGGGCUCAGAAUGAACAACUCUCAGCACCAGGAAGCAACCACUGUCUGCUCGUGCCUGC